rnacentral:rRNA from 1 species
CGCGUAGGCGGCAUUGCAAGUCAGAUGUGAAAGCCCCGGGCUUAACUCGGGAAUUGCAUCUGAAACUGCUUUGCUUGAGUCCUGGAGGGGGUAGUGGAAUUCCCAGUGUAGCGGUGAAAUGCGUAGAUAUUGGGAGGAACACCAGCGGCGAAGGCGGCUACCUGGACAGUGACUGACGCUGAUGCGCGAAAGCUAGGGGAGCGAACGGGAUUAGAUACCCCGGUAGUCCUAGCCGUAAACGAUGGGCACUUGGUGUCGGGGGUAUUGAGUCCCCCGGUGCCGGAGUUAACGCGAUAAGUGCCCCGCCUGGGGAGUACAGUCGCAAGACUGAA